rnacentral:rRNA from 1 species
UAGCCGCACCCCAAGUGGUAGUCAUUGUUAUUGGGCUUAAAGUGUUCGUAGCCGGACGCGUAAGUCCGCUGUGAAAUCCAUGCGCUUAACGUAUGGACAUGCAGCGGAUACUGCGUGUCUAGGAACCGGACGGCGUCGAGGCUAUUCCCGGGGUAGGGGUGAAAUCCUAAAAUCCCGGGAGGAGCACCUGUGGCGGAAGCGCUCGACGAGUACGGAUUCGACGGUGAGGAACGAAAGCCAGUGGAGCAAA